rnacentral:rRNA from 1 species
GUUGUUGCGGUUAAAAGCUCGUAGUUGGAUUUCUGCUUGGAACGACCCGUCCGCCCUCAGGGUGUUGUAUCUGGUUCGGUCCGGGCAUCUUCUUGAGGAAUGUCCCCGCACUUGAGUGAAGAGGUGCGGAACUCAAGACUUUCACUUUGAGGAAAUUAGAGUGUUUCACGCAGGCUUUUGCCUUGAAUACGCUAGCAUGGAAUGAUAAGAUAGGACCUCGUCCCU